AACGAACGCUGGCGGCAUGCCUAAUACAUGCAAGUCGAACGAGAUCUUCGGAUCUAGUGGCGCACGGGUGCGUAACGCGUGGGAAUCUGCCCUUGGGUUCGGAAUAACUUCUGGAAACGGAAGCUAAUACCGGAUGAUGACGUAAGUCCAAAGAUUUAUCGCCCAAGGAUGAGCCCGCGUAGGAUUAGGUAGUUGGUGAGGUAAAGGCUCACCAAGCCGACGAUCCUUAGCUGGUCUGAGAGGAUGAUCAGCCACACUGGGACUGAGACACGGCCCAGACUCCUACGGGAGGCAGCAGUAGGGAAUAUUGGACAAUGGGCGAAAGCCUGAUCCAGCAAUGCCGCGUGAGUGAUGAAGGCCUUAGGGUUGUAAAGCUCUUUUACCCGGGACGAUAAUGACAGUACCGGGAGAAUAAGCUCCGGCUAACUCCGUG
rnacentral:rRNA from 1 species